GUUGACCUCGGAUCAGGUAGGGAUACCCGCUGAACUUAAGCAUAUCAAUAAGCGGAGGAAAAGAAACCAACAGGGAUUGCCCUAGUAACGGCGAGUGAAGCGGCAACAGCUCAAAUUUGAAAUCUGGCGCAAGCCCGAGUUGUAAUUUGUAGAGGAUGCUUCAGGGCAGCGGCCGGUCUAAGUUCCUUGGAACAGGACGUCAUAGAGGGUGAGAAUCCCGUAUGCGACCGGUUGGCACCCGUCACGUAGCUCCUUCGACGAGUCGAGUUGUUUGGGAAUGCAGCUCUAAAUGGGAGGUAAAUUCCUUCUAAAGCUAAAUACCGGCCAGAGACCGAUAGCGCACAAGUAGAGUGAUCGAAAGAUGAAAAGCACUUUGGAAAGAGAGUUAAAAAGCACGUGAAAUUGUUGAAAGGGAAGCGCAUGCAACCAGACUCGUCGGCGGUGUUCCGCCGGUCUUUUGACCGGUCUACUCGCCGCCGACGGGCCAGCAUCACUUGGGGGCGCCGGAUAAAGGCGUGGGGAAUGUGGCUCCUCGGAGUGUUAUAGCCCCGCGCACAAUACGGCGAUCCUCGAGUGAGGUCCGCGCUUCGGCUAGGAUGCUGGCGUAAUGGUUGUUUGCGGCCCGUCUUGAAACACGGACCAAGGAGUCUACCAUCUAUGCGAGUGUUCGGGUGUCAAACCCCUACGCGUAAUGAAAGUGAACGGAGGUGGGAACCGCAAGGUGCACCAUCGACCGAUCCUGAUGUCUUCGGAUGGAUUUGAGUAAGAGCAUAGCUGGUGGGACCCGAAAGAUGGUGAACUAUGCCUGAAUAGGGUGAAGCCAGAGGAAACUCUGGUGGAGGCUCGCAGCGGUUCUGACGUGCAAAUCGAUCGUCAAAUUUGGGUAUAGGGGCGAAAGACUAAUCGAACCAUCUAGUAGCUGGUUCCUGCCGAAG
rnacentral:rRNA from 1 species